UAUAUUAUGGUGUAAUGAUGCACUUUAAUUUUUGGUAUUAAAAGAUUUAGUUUAAUUCUAAAUGAUAUAA
rnacentral:tRNA from 1 species